GUCUUUUUAGUAUAUAAGUAUCAUUGACUUCCAAUCAAUAGGUUUAAAUAAAAUU
rnacentral:tRNA from 1 species